UGUAAAGUUAGUGGACGGACUUGGAAACAAGUCUUCCCUUCNGGGCACGAAACUAGGUGCUGCAUGGUUGUCGUCAGCUCGUGCCGUGAGAUGUCGGGUUAAGUCCCAUAACGUAGCGCAACCCCUACCGUUCAGUUGCGCAUCAGGUAAAGCUGGGCACUCUAGCGGGACUGCCGGUGUAAGCCGGAGAGGAAGGUGGGGAUGACGUCAAAUCAGCACGGCCCUUACGUCCGGGGNUACACACGUGUUACAAUGGUNGGUACAGAGGGCAGCUACCCUGCGANGGGNAUGCGAAUCUCGAAAGCCUAUCUCAGUUCGGAUUGGUAGGCUGGAAA
rnacentral:rRNA from 1 species